AUUGAACGCUGGCGGCAUGCCUUACACAUGCAAGUCGAACGGUAACAGGUUAAUCUGUCGAGUGGCGAACGGGUGAGUAAUACAUCGGACCGUGCACUGUAGUGGGUGAUAGCGCGGCGCAAGCCGAAUUAAUACCGCAUACGACCUAAGUGUUGAAGGGGGAGAUCGCAAGACCUCUCGCUAUUGGCUCGCCCGAGGUCGGAUUAGCUAGUUGGUGGGGUAAAGGCUCACCAAGGCGACGAUCUGUAACUGGUCUGAGAGGAGGACCAGCCACACUGGGACUGAGACACGGCCCAGACUCCUACGGGAGGCAGCAGUGGGGAAUUUUGGACAAUGGGCGCAAGCCUGAUCCAGCCAUGCCGCGUGCGGGAAGAAGGCCUUCGGGUUGUAAAGCGCUUUUGUCAGGGAAGAAAUCCUUUGGGUUAAUACCUCGGGGGGAUGACGGUACCUGAAGAAUAAGCACCGGCUAACUACGUG
rnacentral:rRNA from 1 species